rnacentral:rRNA from 1 species
AUUGAACGCUGGCGGCAGGCCUAACACAUGCAAGUCGAACGAGUGGCGGACGGGUUAGUAAUGUCUGGGAAUCUGCCCGAUGGAGGGGGAUAACUACUGGAAACGGUAGCUAAUACCGCAUACCAUCGGAUGUGCCCAGAUGGGAUUAGCUAGUGGGUGGGGGAACGGCUCACCUAGUCGACGAUCCCUAGCUGGUCUGAGAGGAUGACCAGCCACACUGGAACUGAGACACGGUCCAGACUCCUACGGGAGGCAGCAGUGGGGAAUAUUGCACAAUGGGCGCAAGCCUGAUGCAGCCAUGCCGCGUGUAUGAAGAAGGCCUUAGGGUUGUAAAGUACUUUCAGCGGGGAGGCGUUACCCGCAGAAGAAGCACCGGCUAACUCCGUGCCAGCAGCCGCGGUAAUAC